rnacentral:lncRNA from 1 species
CAAGGCACUAGUUUUGAAGAUAAAACAAAUAAAACACUUUAGGGAUUCAAUCAAACAUACUUGUAUACACAUCCCAAAACCUUUUUAAUGCAAGUUCACUCACCGAUAUUUGUUGAAUCUUUAAUUGACUUUAACUUUGAUUAUUGCUUCAAACGGACAUGUGAGGCCUUGUUGGAACCUAUCACCCACAAUGUAACUAUAAAAAAUAUAACAACCCAUAAAUCUAAUUUCUAGCCAUUUCUAACACCUUAAAAUCAAAUUCUAACUCAUUUCUCACCUUGGUGGUUUUUUUUUUGUAGUUGAAUUCCUUUUCAAAAGCUUCCAAGCUACUAUGGCAAGUCUCUUUUUCUCUUUCUAAAACUUUCAGCUAGUGAGAGAAAGUGCUGAACAAAGACUUUUUGAGGGUUUUAAGGUGUAAAAGUGGAAGAGCAUGAAAAACUGUAUGAAAGAGUGGGCAAAAGCAUGAAAUUUGGAGCUAUAAAGAGAAAGUUAUGGAAGUUGCAAAGCAAGCUUCCAUGGAGGAUGGAAGCAACGUGAGAU